CGACUCUUUGCAAAGGUAUAUCCUCAGCUAAUUGAAGUAGAAGAAUUAUGAAAAUAUGUUUCCUAGGUUGUGGGAUUUCCAAGAGGUCCAGAGAGUCAGGACUGGGAGCCAUGCAGCCAGGAACCAUGCUCGUACCACACCGUGGGGUUGCUACAGUGAAGAGUCCACUAUGUGUCACACCACAGAUGACCACUGAUGCUGGGCAUGGGAUUCCAGAACCUCCACCACUGCCUGCUCCAAACUGCAUACGUCUACCUUCAACCUCAUGAAAGCUACGCUGCCUCUCCAGGCGGGAGGACUUGGGGAUCUGCAGAGAAGGGAGCCUUUGCAGGUGUAGUGCUGAAGACCCGUUUACCAGGUUUUUUAAUCUGUGGGCCUCCACUCAGUCAUCGAUGGGAGAAGAUUUCGGUUGGAGCUGCUUUGGCUUACAAAGGUAAUUGUAGCUGUUUGUGGAGAAAGGCUGACCUUAUAACCCCUCACCAAUUUAUCCAGAGACUAAGUACCGUCCUUUGUCGUAUAGCUGCCAUAUACCUUUUUAAUGUGCAUUAUUUCAUAUUUGUUUUUUACCAGGUGAUAUUUAGAGACAAGGAUAAAGUGACAUUGAAUGUAAAAGAAGAAAGUAUUGGUAAAGAAAUAUUCAAGGAGGUGUGUUCAAGUGGAAGGGGACGAGGAUAAACCUGUGGCUGAUUCAUGCCGAUGUUUGGUAGAAAGUAACACAGUAGUGUAAAGCAAUUACCCUUCAAUUAAAAAUAAAUAAAUUUACCAAGAGACA
ensembl:lncRNA